UAAAAUUGGUGGGGGGGCUUAACACAUGCAAGUUCGAGCGGGCGUAGCAAUACGUCAGCGGCAGACGGGUGAGUAACGCGUGGAAACGUACCUUUUGGUUCGGAACAACACAGGGAAACUUGUGCUAAUACCGGAUAAGCCCUUACGGGGAAAGAUUUAUCGCCGAAAGAUCGGCCCGCGUCUGAUUAGCUAGUUGGUGAGGUAAUGGCUCACCAAGGCGACGAUCAGUAGCUGGUCUGAGAGGAUGAUCAGCCACAUUGGGACUGAGACACGGCCCAAACUCCUACGGGAGGCAGCAGUGGGGAAUAUUGGACAAUGGGCGCAAGCCUGAUCCAGCCAUGCCGCGUGAGUGAUGAAGGCCCUAGGGUUGUAAAGCUCUUUUGUGCGGGAAGAUAAUGACGGUACCGCAAGAAUAAGCCCCGGCUAACUUCGUGCCAGCAGCCGCGGUAAUACGAAGGGGGCUAGCGUUGCUCGGAAUCACUGGGCGUAAAGGGUGCGUAGGCGGGUCUUUAAGUCAGGGGUGAAAUCCUGGAGCUCAACUCCAGAACUGCCUUUGAUACUGAGGAUCUUGAGUUCGGGAGAGGUGAGUGGAACUGCGAGUGUAGAGGUGAAAUUCGUAGAUAUUCGCAAGAACACCAGUGGCGAAGGCGGCUCACUGGCCCGAUACUGACGCUGAGGCACGAAAGCGUGGGGAGCAAACAGGAUUAGAUACCCUGGUAGUCCACGCCGUAAACGAUGAAUGCCAGCCGUUAGUGGGUUUACUCACUAGUGGCGCAGCUAACGCUUUAAGCAUUCCGCCUGGGGAGUACGGUCGCAAGAUUAAAACUCAAAGAAUUUGACGGGGGCCGCACAAGCGGUGGCAGCAUGUGUUUUAUUUCGAACGCACGUGCAGAUCUACCAGCCAUGGACAUCCUGUCCGACUCGAAGACCGGAAUUCUUUUCACAGAUCUACUG
rnacentral:rRNA from 1 species